GGGGAUUUAGCUCAGCGGUAGAGCCCCUGCCUAGGAAGCACAAGGCCCUGGGUUCGGUCCCCAGCUCCG
rfam:Rattus norvegicus chromosome 3, whole genome shotgun sequence.